GAUUCUGAGCCCAAACCUGAAAAAGUAACCAUCGAGAGAAAGCCAGAACCUGAGACUGAAACCAGAACAGUCAUCAUCGAGAAAAAGCCAGAGCCUGAGUCCAAGCCAGAAGAAGUCGUUAUCAACAAACAGCCAG